UUAGCGGCGGACGGGUGAGUAAUGCCUAGGAAUCUGCCUGGUAGUGGGGGAUAACGUCCGGAAACGGGCGCUAAUACCGCAUACGUCCUACGGGAGAAAGCAGGGGACCUUCGGGCCUUGCGCUAUCAGAUGAGCCUAGGUCGGAUUAGCUAGUUGGUGAGGUAAUGGCUCACCAAGGCGACGAUCCGUAACUGGUCUGAGAGGAUGAUCAGUCACACUGGAACUGAGACACGGUCCAGACUCCUACGGGAGGCAGCAGUGGGGAAUAUUGGACAAUGGGCGAAAGCCUGAUCCAGCCAUGCCGCGUGUGUGAAGAAGGUCUUCGGAUUGUAAAGCACUUUAAGUUGGGAGGAAGGGCAGUAAGUUAAUACCUUGCUGUUUUGACGUUACCGACAGAAUAAGCACCGGCUAACUUCGUGCCAGCAGCCGCGGUAAUACGAAGGGUGCAAGCGUUAAUCGGAAUUACUGGGCGUAAAGCGCGCGUAGGUGGUUCGUUAAGUUGGAUGUGAAAGCCCCGGGCUCAACCUGGGAACUGCAUCCAAAACUGGCGAGCUAGAGUACGGUAGAGGGUGGUGGAAUUUCCUGUGUAGCGGUGAAAUGCGUAGAUAUAGGAAGGAACACCAGUGGCGAAGGCGACCACCUGGACUGAUACUGACACUGAGGUGCGAAAGCGUGGGGAG
rnacentral:rRNA from 1 species